CAGAGUGUCUCGAUGUUUAUGCCAUCUGGUUCUUUUUCUGAUUUCUGCUUUGCCUCUCUAAAGAUGCUUUGACAGCAAGUUCCUUUUGGCUGCCUGGCUGGAAGCUUGGCUUGUUUGCUUAACCUUCUCCACCCUCUCCCCUUCAGAAUUAAUCUGCACCAAGGGAGGUAAGCUGGAGCAGGGAAAAUGAGAGAGCUCGGCAUAAGAGAAAUAUAUUGGACCCUGGUGAGAAAGCAUGCAGGAAACCUCAGAGACAACAAUGAACCUGGAUUCUUCACAAGAGUAUACCCUGAAGUCCCAGCUCGACAAGACUUUAGUCACCAAAGGCCCAGGCAGCAAGAUUACACAAGUGACCAUUUUCAGUUAAGACUAGGAAAUAACCUUGACAUGAUCGGGAGACAAUGGCUGCAAUCCUAGACAAGCUUUCUCUGGAAUAAAUCCCAGGGACAUAAUAAAAAUAUUUCUGAAUAUGAACAUGUGUCGGAUUGUCCGGGAUAUUUGAUCCUGAAUUUUUUGCCCUUCUGCUUGAAGAGGAAAAGCAAUACCAGUGAGCUACUCAGAUAAAAUGAUUGCGAUGUUAUUACCCCAGAGUAGCA